rnacentral:rRNA from 1 species
AACGAACGCUGGCGGCAUGCCUAACACAUGCAAGUCGAACGAGACCUUCGGGUCUAGUGGCGCACGGGUGCGUAACGCGUGGGAACCUGCCUUUAGGUUCGGAAUAACUCAGAGAAAUUUGAGCUAAUACCGGAUGAUGUCUUCGGACCAAAGAUUUAUCGCCUUUAGAUGGGCCCGCGUUGGAUUAGCUAGUUGGUGGGGUAAAGGCCUACCAAGGCGACGAUCCAUAGCUGGUCUGAGAGGAUGAUCAGCCACACUGGGACUGAGACACGGCCCAGACUCCUACGGGAAGCAGCAGUGGGGAAUAUUGGACAAUGGGCGAAAGCCUGAUCCAGCAAUGCCGCGUGAGUGAUGAAGGCCUUAGGGUUGUAAAGCUCUUUUACCCGAGAUGAUAAUGACAGUAUCGGGAGAAUAAGCGCCGGCUAACUCCGUG